rnacentral:rRNA from 1 species
AGGACGAACGCUGGCGGCAUGCCUAACACAUGCAAGUCGAACGAGACCUUCGGGUCUAGUGGCGCACGGGUGCGUAACGCGUGGGAAUCUGCCCUUGGGUUCGGAAUAACAGCGAGAAAUUGCUGCUAAUACCGGAUGAUGACGUAAGUCCAAAGAUUUAUCGCCCAAGGAUGAGCCCGCGUAGGAUUAGCUUGUUGGUGAGGUAAGAGCUCACCAAGGCGACGAUCCUUAGCUGGUCUGAGAGGAUGAUCAGCCACACUGGGACUGAGACACGGCCCAGACUCCUACGGGAGGCAGCAGUGGGGAAUAUUGGACAAUGGGCGAAAGCCUGAUCCAGCAAUGCCGCGUGAGUGAUGAAGGCCUUAGGGUUGUAAAGCUCUUUACCGGAUGAUAAUGACAGUACGGAGAAUAAGCUCCGCUAACUCCGUGCCAGCAGCCGC